GUCUACUCCUGAUAGUAGUGACAUCCUUUUAAACUAAGUUUAAAAGAUAAAACGAAUAGCAGGAAAAUGG
rnacentral:sRNA from 1 species